UACGGCGAGUGAGAGGGAAGAGCCCAAGAUUGAAAGCUGGCGUCUUCGGCGUCCGCAUUGUAAUCUCAAGAAGUGUUUUCCGCUUCGGACCAAGCCUAAGUCCCCUGGAAAGGGGCAUCAUAGAGGGUGAUAAUCCCGUACAUGGCUUGGAGCGCCCGAGGCUUUGUGAUACGCUUUCUAAGAGUCGAGUUGUUUGGGAAUGCAGCUCAAAAUGGGUGGUAAAUGCCAUCUAAGGCUAAAUAUUGGGGAGAGACCGAUAGCGAACAAGUACAGUGAUGGAAAGAUGAAAAGAACUUUGAAAAGAGAGUUAAACAGUACGUGAAAUUGCCAAAAGGGAAGGGUAGGAGGUCAGAGAUGCGGCCUGGGAUUCAGCCUUGCUUUUGCUUGGUGUUUUUCCUAGAUUGCAGGCCAACGUCGGUUUUGGGCACUGGAGAAGGGUAGGAGGAACGUGGCACCUCUCGGGGUGUGUUAUAGCCUCCUACUGGAUACAGCGACCGAGACCGAGGACAGCAGCGUACUCGCAAGAGCGGGCCUUCGGGCACCUUUACGCUUAGGGCGUUGGCAUAAUGGCCCUCUACCACCCGUCUUGA
rnacentral:rRNA from 1 species